CCUACGGGUGGCAGCAGUGGGGAAUAUUGCGCAAUGGGCGCAAGCCUGACCCAGCAACGCCGCGUGAAGGAUGAAGGUUUUCGGGUCGUAAACUUCUUUCAACAGGGAAGAGCAGUAACCGUUAUCUCUUGCAUAAGCUACGGCUAACUACGUGCCAGCAGCCGCGGUAAUACGUAGGCGGCAAGCGUUGUCCGGAUUUACUGGGUGUAAUGGGCGUGCAGUCGGGAAGACAAGUCAGUUGUGAAAUCCCGCGGCUCAACCGCGGAACUGCAUUUGAAACUGUUUUUCUUGAGGACCGGAGAGGUCAUCGGAAUUCCAGGUGUAGCGGUGAAAUGCGUAGAUAUAAGGAAGAACACCAGUGGCGAAGGCGGAUGACUGGACGGCAACUGACGGUGAGGCGCGAAAGCGUGGGGAGCAAACAGGAUUAGAUACCCGAGUAGUC
rnacentral:rRNA from 1 species